UAAUACGGGGGGUGCGAGCGUUGUCCGGAAUCACUGGGCGUAAAGGGCGCGUAGGUGGUUUGAUAAGGGUGUGGUGAAAGUCCGGGGCUCAACCCCGGAUCUGCCGUGCCGACUGUCAAACUCGAGGACUGUAGAGGCAGACGGAAUUCCGGGUGUAGCGGUGGAAUGCGUAGAGAUCCGGAGGAAGACCGGUGGCGAAGGCGGUCUGCUGGGCAGUUUCUGACACUGAGGCGCGACAGCGUGGGGAGCAAACAGGAUUAGAUACCCUGGUAGUCCACGCUGUAAACGAUGGGCACUAGGUGCCGGCGGUCUUGAUCCCGUCGGUGCCGGCGCUAACGCAGUAAGUGCCCCGCCUGGGGAGUACGGUCGCAAGGCUG
rnacentral:rRNA from 1 species